rnacentral:rRNA from 1 species
GACGUAGGGCGCAAGCGUUGUCCGGAUUUACUGGGCGUAAAGGGCUCGUAGGCGGCCAACUAAGUCAGACGUGAAAUCCCUCGGCUUAACCGGGGAACUGCGUCUGAUACUGGAUGGCUUGAGUUUGGGAGAGGGAUGCGGAAUUCCAGGUGUAGCGGUGAAAUUCGUAGAUAUUCGCAAGAACACCAGUGGCGAAGGCGGCUCACUGGCCCGGUACUGACGCUGAGGUGCGAAAGCGUGGGGAGCAAACAGG